rnacentral:misc_RNA from 1 species
UUGAAAUAAAAACACGGUUGGAGAUUUGAGCUGGCCAUCCUGAGGAUGGCAUGUGCACAUCUCUUACUGUUUAUUAUCCCACCUGUGCAUGAUUUGUAGGCUGCCUAUUAGGUGUGUCUAUGUUUUAUAUAUACACAUGUAUUGUCUGUAGAAUGUUGGUAAAAAAAAAUAUUA